rnacentral:rRNA from 1 species
GACGAACGCUGGCGGCAUGCCUAACACAUGCAAGUCGAACGGGAUCCUGGUUUCGGCCAGGUGAGAGUGGCGGACGGGUGAGUAACGCGUGGGAACCUGCCCAGUGGUGGGGGAGUAACUGCGGGAAACGUAGCAGCUAAUACCGCAUGAGCCGCAAGGGAAAGAUUGAUCGCCAUUGGAGGGGCCCGGCGUUCGAUUAGGUAGUUGGUGAGGUAACGGCUCACCAAGCCUACGAUCGAUAGCUGGUCUGAGAGGAUGAUCAGCCACACUGGGACUGAGAUACGGCCCAGACUCCUACGGGAGGC